rnacentral:rRNA from 1 species
GAGGCAUGCAAGGGCUGUCGCUGACUUUUGACCCAAAAGUCGUGCACGCCAGAGUGUGUCCUCUCACAUAAAAUCCAUCUCACCCUUUUGUGCACCACCGCGUGGGCACCCUUCGGGAUCAAACCGAUCCAGGAGGGGGCUUGCGUUCUCACACAAACCCCCUUUUAAAAAGUGUAGAAUGACCUCAUUUUUGCGAUAACACGCAAUCAAUACAACUUUCAACAACGGAUCUCUUGGCUCUCGCAUCGAUGAAGAACGCAGCGAAAUGCGAUACGUAAUGUGAAUUGCAGAAUUCAGUGAAUCAUCGAAUCUUUGAACGCACCUUGCGCCCCUUGGUAUUCCGAGGGGCACACCCGUUUGAGUGUCGUGAAAAUCUCAACCUCCUCGGUUUCUUCUGGACACCGAAGGAGGCUUGGACUUUGGAGGCCUUUGCUGGCGUCUCUCGCCAGCUCCUCUCAAAUGAAUUAGCGGGGUCCUCUUUGCCGAUCCUCGACGUGUGAUAAGAUGUUUCCAUGUCUUGGUUUCUGGCUCUGUUGCUUUUGGGACCCGCUUCUAACCGUCUCAACCCGAGACAAUGUUUGAGCGCGUCUCCCUUCUCGGGAAACGCCCUCAAGCCCACGAACCCUUGA